rnacentral:rRNA from 1 species
GACGAACGCUGGCGGCGUGCUUAACACAUGCAAGUCGAACGAAGAGCGAUGGAAGCUUGCUUCUCUCAAUCUUAGUGGCGAACGGGUGAGUAACGCGUAAUCAACCUGCCCUUCAGAGGGGGACAACAGUUGGAAACGACUGCUAAUACCGCAUACGAUCUAACCUCGGCAUCGAGGAUAGAUGAAAGGUGGCCUCUACAUGUAAGCUAUCACUGAAGGAGGGGAUUGCGUCUGAUUAGCUAGUUGGAGGGGUAACGGCCCACCAAGGCGAUGAUCAGUAGCCGGUCUGAGAGGAUGAACGGCCACAUUGGGACUGAGACACGGCCCCGACUCCUACGGGAGGCAGCAGUGGGGAAUCUUCCGCAAUGGACGGAAGUCUGACGGAGCAACGCCGCGUGAGUGAUGACGGCCUUCGGGUUGUAAAGCUCUGUUAAUCGGGACGAAAGGCCUUCUUGCGAAUAGUUAGAAGGAUUGACGGUACCGGAAUAGAAAGCCACGGCUAACUACGUG